rnacentral:rRNA from 1 species
UGCCGCGUGUGUAGAAGAAGGUCCGUUCGGGUUGUAAAGCACUUCGGACCGGAACGAAAUCGUCUACCGUUAAUACCGGGGGAUGGAUGACGGUACCGGAAGAAGAAGCACCGGCUAACUACGUGCCAGCAGCCGCGGUAAUACGUAGGGUGCGAGCGUUAAUCGGAAUUACUGGGCGUAAAGUGUGCGCAGGUGGCCGCGCAAGUCGAGUGUGAAAUCCCCGGGCUUAACUUGGGAAUUGCGCUCGAAACUACGUGGCUAGAGUGUGGCAGAGGAAGGUGGAAUUCCACGUGUAGCGGUGAAAUGCGUAGAGAUGUGGAGGAACACCGAUGGCGAAGGCAGCCUUCUGGGCCAACACUGACGCUCAUGCACGAAAGCGUGGGGAGCAAACAGGAUUAGAUACCCUGGUAGUCCACGCCCUAAACGAUGAUGACUAGUUGUUGGGGGAGUUAAAUCCCUUAGUAACGCAGCUAACGCGUGAAGUCAUCCGCCUGGGGAGUACGGUCGCAAGAUUA